UGGGGGAUAUUGCACAAUGGGCGAAAGCCUGAUGCAGCGACGCCGCGUGGGGGAUGAAGGCCUUCGGGUUGUAAACUUCUUUUGCUCUGAACAAGGCAUGCCUUUGGGGUGUGUUGAGUGUAUGGGUUGAUUAGCGCCGGCUAACUACGUGCCAGCAGCCGCGGUAAUACGUAGGGCGCGAGCGUUGUCCGGAAUUAUUGGGCGUAAAGGGCUUGUAGGUGGCUGGUUGCGUCUGUCGUGAAAGCUCAUGGCUUAACUGUGGGUUUGCGGUGGGUACGGGCUGGCUUGAGUGCAGUAGGGGAGGCUGGAAUUCCUGGUGUAGCGGUGGAAUGCGCAGAUAUCAGGAGGAAUACCGGUGGCGAAGGCGGGUCUCUGGGCUGUUACUGACGCUGAGGAGCGAAAGCGUGGGGAGCGAACAGG
rnacentral:rRNA from 1 species